GACGAACGCUGGCGGCGUGCUUAACACAUGCAAGUCGAACGGAAAGGCCUUUUCGGAGGUACUCGAGUGGCGAACGGGUGAGUAACACGUGGGUGAUCUUCCCUGCACUCUGGGAUAAGCCUGGGAAACUGGGUCUAAUACCGGAUAGGACCGCACUCUAGUGUGUGUGGUGGAAAGUUUUUUCGGUGUAGGAUGAGCCCGCGGCCUAUCAGCUUGUUGGUGGGGUAAUGGCCUACCAAGGCGGCGACGGGUAGCCGGACUGAGAGGUUGGUCGGCCACAUUGGGACUGAGAUACGGCCCAGACUCCUACGGGAGGCAGCAGUGGGGAAUAUUGCACAAUGGGCGCAAGCCUGAUGCAGCGACGCCGCGUGGGGGAUGACGGCCUUCGGGUUGUAAACUCCUUUCGCCAGGGACGAAGCGUUUUGUGACGGUACCUGGAGAAGAAGCACCGGCUAACUACGUG
rnacentral:rRNA from 1 species